rnacentral:rRNA from 1 species
UACGUAGGGCGCAAGCGUUAUCCGGAAUUAUUGGGCGUAAAGAGCUCGUAGGCGGUUUGUCGCGUCUGCCGUGAAAGUCCGGGGCUCAACUCCGGAUCUGCGGUGGGUACGGGCAGACUAGAGUGAUGUAGGGGAGACUGGAAUUCCUGGUGUAGCGGUGAAAUGCGCAGAUAUCAGGAGGAACACCGAUGGCGAAGGCAGGUCUCUGGCCCGGUACUGACGCUGAGGCGCGAAAGCGUGGGGAGCAAACAGG